GGUCGUGACAGUCUCUAGUCCCUUGUCCACACCUAGAAGGUGGAUGGGGUGAAUCUUGGUAUCAUGAUGGCCUGCGACAGGACUCAGAUGUUUGGGGACAUAUGGCCCCUGUGUCUAUGGAUUUGUCUGUGCACAAGAGGAUGGAGAUGAUGGCUAGAGGCAAGGCUAGACUGAGAAAGCAGCAGGCGGGGGCUUAUGGGGGAUGAGUGGGGAGUGUGAAGAAGAGUGCUCCUGGGAGCACUAGCUGGAUCCAGACAGAAAGUCCUGACAUCCUCCAGGGACCCUGACACCUCCAGGGACUGGGACUCUGGGAGAAUCAGCAUGUGAGCUCUCACGGAGGGCAAGAACACGACCUUCACCCUUUAAUUUC
rnacentral:lncRNA from 1 species